rnacentral:rRNA from 1 species
GACGAACGCUGGCGGCGUGCCUAAUACAUGCAAGUCGAACGCUUCUUUCCUCCCGAGUGCUUGCACUCAAUUGGAAAGAGGAGUGGCGGACGGGUGAGUAACACGUGGGUAACCUACCCAUCAGAGGGGGAUAACACUUGGAAACAGGUGCUAAUACCGCAUAACAGUUUAUGCCGCAUGGCAUAAGAGUGAAAGGCGCUUUCGGGUGUCGCUGAUGGCUGGACCCGCGGUGCAUUAGCUAGUUGGUGAGGUAACGGCUCACCAAGGCCACGAUGCAUAGCCGACCUGAGAGGGUGAUCGGCCACACUGGGACUGAGACACGGCCCAGACUCCUACGGGAGGCAGCAGUAGGGAAUGUUCGGCAAUGGACGAAAGUCUGACCGAGCAACGCCGCGUGAGUGAAGAAGGUUUUCGGAUCGUAAAACUCUGUUGUUAGAGAAGAACAAGGACGUCAGUAACUGAACGUCCCCUGACGGUAUCUAACCAGAAAGCCACGGCUAACUACGUG